rnacentral:lncRNA from 1 species
CAAAAAAAGUUGUUGAAUAUUACAUCGAAACUGCUGCAACCAAGUCGUUCCCUCGGUUGUGGAAUAUUACACAGCCCGACGUACUCGAGGGCAAUUGGUGUAAAAAAUGCGACCGAUGUAAUUUUUGCGAUGUAAUAUAUUCCAUGUACACAAUACGAUGUAAUUGAUGCGAUGUAAUAUGAAAACUAUUAAUAGGCCUUCGCAAUGAAACCCAGAGUGAUGAAUACCAGAAGACGCUCGAUCUUGUGUGCUGACUUCCUGAUUAGACUGUGAACCAUUGUGGAAAGUUCGUACUCUGUUGAGCCUAUACAAAAAAAAAAAAAAAAAAA